rnacentral:rRNA from 1 species
AUUGAACGCUAGCGGGAUGCUUUACACAUGCAAGUCGAACGGCAGCGCGGACUUCGGUCUGGCGGCGAGUGGCGAACGGGUGAGUAAUGUAUCGGAACGUGCCCAGUAGCGGGGGAUAACUACGCGAAAGCGUAGCUAAUACCGCAUACGCCCUACGGGGGAAAGCAGGGGAUCGUAAGACCUUGCACUAUUGGAGCGGCCGAUAUCGGAUUAGCUAGUUGGUGAGGUAACGGCUCACCAAGGCGACGAUCCGUAGCUGGUUUGAGAGGACGACCAGCCACACUGGGACUGAGACACGGCCCAGACUCCUACGGGAGGCAGCAGUGGGGAAUUUUGGACAAUGGGGGCAACCCUGAUCCAGCCAUCCCGCGUGUGCGAUGAAGGCCUUCGGGUUGUAAAGCACUUUUGGCAGGAAAGAAACGAAGCGGGCUAAUACCCCGUGGAACUGACGGUACCUGCAGAAUAAGCACCGGCUAACUACGUG